UGUUAUGUGUGAAAUCAUGUAAAUGUC
rnacentral:sRNA from 1 species